CGAACGAGAAUCUGCGGAUCGAGGAUUCGUCCAAGUGAAGUAGAGGACAGUGGCGGACGGGUGAGUAACGCGUGAGGAACCUGCCUUUCAGAGGGGGACAACAGUUGGAAACGACUGCUAAUACCGCAUGACACAUUGGGGUCGCAUGGCCCUGAUGUCAAAGAUUUAUCGCUGAAAGAUGGCCUCGCGUCUGAUUAGCUAGUUGGUGAGGUAACGGCCCACCAAGGCGACGAUCAGUAGCCGGACUGAGAGGUUGACCGGCCACAUUGGGACUGAGAUACGGCCCAGACUCCUACGGGAGGCAGCAGUGGGGAAUAUUGGGCAAUGGGCGCAGGCCUGACCCAGCAACGCCGCGUGAAGGAAGAAGGCUUUCGGGUUGUAAACUUCUUUUGUCAGGGACGAGUAGAAGACGGUACCUGACGAAUAAGCCACGGCUAACUACGUGCCAGCAGCCGCGGUAAUACGUAGGUGGCAAGCGUUGUCCGGAUUUACUGGGUGUAAAGGGCGUGUAGCCGGGAAGGCAAGUCAGAUGUGAAAUCCACGGGCUCAACUCGUGAACUGCAUUUGAAACUGUUUUUCUUGAGUAUCGGAGAGGCAAUCGGAAUUCCUAGUGUAGCGGUGAAAUGCGUAGAUAUUAGGAGGAACACCAGU
rnacentral:rRNA from 1 species